GACGUAGGGUGCGAGCGUUGUCCGGAUUUAUUGGGCGUAAAGAGCUCGUAGGCGGCUCGUCGCGUCGACCGUGAAAACCCGCGGCUUAACUGCGGGCUUGCGGUUGAUACGGGCGGGCUAGAGUUCGGUAGGGGAGACUGGAAUUCCUGGUGUAGCGGUGGAAAUGCGCAGAUAUCAGGAGGAACACCGGUGGCGAAGGCGGGUCUCUGGGCCGAUACUGACGCUGAGGAGCGAAAGCGUGGGGAGCGAACAGG
rnacentral:rRNA from 1 species